rnacentral:lncRNA from 1 species
UCUUUUGAAAGUUGAAAAUCAUGAUUACAUUUCACUAUACUAGUAAUGAUUGAUCGUUAUCAUAGUUGGGUAAGGAUUGCUUCUUUGAGAUCCAGAUUUAUCUACAGGAAUCACUUUAUAUCACUCCUAAGUUCUAACCAUUAUGGCCAAGUUGAACUACUAAUAGUUUAUAAAAUUACUGGAGCGCAUAAUCUCACUUGCUUUGAAAAAUGUAGAUUCAAAAGAGGGGGUAAAGGAAAUAUUGAGUCAGUCAGACUGUCUUCAUUCACUGUCUGAAAAACUUUUUAGGAAUAUGUUACUGAGAAUUAGAAUUACCAAAGUUUGAAAUUUGUACAAUAAAUUUUACAGAAAUAUUUAUUCUUCAGC